UACGUAGGGGGCGAGCGUUGUCCGGAUUUAUUGGGCGUAAAGAGCUCGUAGGCGGUUUGGUAAGUCGGGUGUGAAAUCUCCACACUCAACGUGGAGGGGCCACUCGAUACUGCCAUGACUCGAGUCCGGUAGAGGAGUGUGGAAUUCCCGGUGUAGCGGUGAAAUGCGCAGAUAUCGGGAGGAACACCCGUAGCGAAGGCGGCUCUCGUGGACGGUACUGACGCUGAGACGCGAAAGCGUGGGGAGCGAACAGG
rnacentral:rRNA from 1 species